AUGGCCUCCACGCCGACGAGCUUCGUGGCCGUGGCGCUCCUCAUGGCCGUCAUGCUCAGCACGUGCGGUGCUGCGCGCCUCCUCGCCGACAUCCCGGCCUUGCCCGAACCGACGCUGCCGGCCUUGCCCCUGGUCGUUCCCACGGUCCCUGCCGUGCCAGGCGGCGUCGUGCCCACCGUGCCGGAAGUGCCGACGGUGCCGCUGCCAACAGUACCCAGCGGCGUCGUGCCAACCAUCCCGACGGUUCCCACCGUGCCGGAGGUGCCGACGGUGCCCACUGUGCCAGGUGUGCCGGCGGUGCCGCUGCCAACAGUACCCGCCGUGCCGACCAUCCCGACAGUUCCCGCCGUGCCAGGCGUGCCGACGGUGCCGCUGCCGGCAGCACCCGGCGCCGUCGUGCCCACAGUGCCAACCGUGCCAGGCGUGCCAACGUUGCCUCUGCCGUCGAUGCCGUCCAUCCCCGGUGACCUGCCCAUGGUACCAGUGCCAUUACCACCGGUUCCGUCCAUCCCCGGCGACCUGCCCAAGCUGCCGGUGCCUCUGCCGCCUCUGCCGUCCCUUCCCGACCUGCCCAAGGUGCCACUGCCGCCGAUGCCGUCCAUCCCUGGCGUGCCUAAGAUACCGCUGCCGUCUGUUCCGGGUGUGCCGGCCGUGCCGUAG
rnacentral:rRNA from 1 species